rnacentral:pre_miRNA from 1 species
UUAGUAUUCCAUCCGUCCAAUAAAAGAUGUCUCAAGUUUGUCAAAAUUUGGAUGUAUCUAAACAUGACUUAGUGUAUAGAUGCAUUCAAAUUUAGUCAAAGUUGAGACAUUUUUUGUUGGACAGAGGGAGUAGCAU